GGGUGUGAAAGAGAUCUUGCUACCAUAUCUGUCACUUCACUGAUAGCCAGAGUUGAUUCUUGGUUCACUGAUCUGGCUGGCUAGAACAGUGUCUCCUUCUUUCCUUCCUUCCUGCUCCACAUGCAUCUCUCCUGAAGUUGCUGCCUUUGUUAAAGAGAAGCCAGCCUUUGUUCAAGGGUAAGUGAGUUGCUUCACUCCCCUGCUAAAACCACCCACUAAAAUGGAGAACAAGAGAUCAGGGGAGGAUCAAAAGAAAGGAGUA
ensembl:misc_RNA predicted gene, 24675